rnacentral:rRNA from 1 species
GGUGACCUGCGGAGGAUCAUUACCUAGAGUUGUAGGCUUUGCCUGCUAUCUCUUACCCAUGUCUUUUGAGUACCUUACGUUUCCUCGGCGGGUCCGCCCGCCGAUUGGACACUUUAAACCAUUUGCAGUUGCAAUCAGCGUCUGAAAAAACUUAAUAGUUACAACUUUCAACAACGGAUCUCUUGGUUCUGGCAUCGAUGAAGAACGCAGCGAAAUGCGAUAAGUAGUGUGAAUUGCAGAAUUCAGUGAAUCAUCGAAUCUUUGAACGCACAUUGCGCCCCUUGGUAUUCCAUGGGGCAUGCCUGUUCGAGCGUCAUUUGUACCUUCAAGCUUUGCUUGGUGUUGGGUGUUUGUCUCGCCUCUGCGUGUAGACUCGCCUCAAAACAAUUGGCAGCCGGCGUAUUGAUUUCGGAGCGCAGUACAUCUCGCGCUUUGCACUCAUAACGACGACGUCCAAAAGUACAUUUUUACACUCUUGACCUCGGAUCAGGUAGGGAUACCCGCUGAACUUAAGCAUAU